rnacentral:rRNA from 1 species
UACGUAGGGCGCAAGCGUUAUCCGGAAUUAUUGGGCGUAAAGAGCUCGUAGGCGGUUUGUCGCGUCUGCCGUGAAAGUCCGGGGCUCAACUCCGGAUCUGCGGUGGGUACGGGCAGACUAGAGUGAUGUAGGGGAGACUGGAAUUCCUGGUGUAGCGGUGAAAUGCGCAGAUAUCAGGAGGAACACCGAUGGCGAAGGCAGGUCUCUGGGCAUUAACUGACGCUUAGGAGCGAAAGCAUGGGGAGCGAACAGG